GAUGAACGCUGGCGGCGUGCUUAACACAUGCAAGUCGAGCGGGCAAUUUAUCUAGCACUGAUUACUUCAAAUGGAAAUCAUAAGUGUAAUCAUGAAUUUCUACCUUUAAUAAAGAAAAAAGAAAUUCAUGUACGCAAAUAGUGAUAACACAUUUUAGUGAAGUGAUGAGUGCUGGAUAAAUUGCUAGCGGCGGACGGGUGCGUAACACGUGGGUAACCUGCCCCUAUCACUGGGAUAACACACUGAAAAGUGUGCUAAUACCAGAUAAUAUAAGCUUUUGGCAUCAUUAGCUUAUCAAAGAAUUUCGGAUAGGGAUGGGCCCGCGUCUGAUUAGCUAGUUGGUGAGGUAACGGCUCACCAAGGCUUCGAUCCAUAGCUGGUUUGAGAGGACGACCAGCCACACUGGAACUGAGACACGGUCCAGACUCCUACGGGAGGCAGCAGUGAGGAAUAUUGGACAAGUGGGUGAGAG
rnacentral:rRNA from 1 species